ACAUACCUCUUCAGUUGUCUGCCAAGGCUUGUUUUGUCUUGGUGGAUUGUGGGUUUCCUGUGUUGCCUACCUAAGCAAUGGUAUUGCCGUGGUUGAUYGUAGUCUCUUUUCUUCUAGUGUCAUGCUUAUGACAYUGGAUGAACCUUGAAGCGGUUUCUUUGAUCCACCUUGUCAACGAAUGUGUUGAUUUUGUGGCACAUUGAGCAUCGCUUGGUCUCCUGGAUACAGAACAUGAUGUGAGCAUGGGGUCUCAUGGGGUCCUUGUUUCGCUCUCAUUCAGUGUUUGCGCUUCUCUUAAAAUGACUGCCUCGCCCGCCAAGGCUCGUACCAGCGUGGGGGGUAUGUCAAGGAGGAAUGC
rnacentral:misc_RNA from 1 species